rnacentral:rRNA from 2 species
ACUGCUCAGUAACACGUGGACAACCUACCCUUGGGUCUGGCAUAAUCCUGGGAAACUGGGUAUAAUUCCGGAUAGGUCACAGAUGCUGGAAUGCACUGUGGCCGAAAGCUCCGGCGCCCAAGGAUGGGUCUGCGGCCUAUCAGGGUUGUAGUGGGUGUAACGGACCUACUAGCCUACGACGGGUACGGGUUGUGAGAGCAAGAGCCCGGAGAUGGAUUCUGAGACACGAAUCCAGGCCCUACGGGGUGCAGCAGGCGCGAAAACUUUACAAUGCGGGAAACCGUGAUAAGGGAAUCUCGAGUGCCAGCAUAUAAUGUUGGCUGUCCAGAUGCCUAAAAAGCAUCUGUUAGCAAGGGCCGGGCAAGACCGGUGCCAGCCGCCGCGGUAACACCGGCGGCCCGAGUGGUAACCGCUUUUAUUGGGUCUAAAGGGUCUGUAGCCGGCCAAGUAAGUCCCUUGGGAAAUCUGGCAGCUUAACUGUCAGGCUGCUAGGGGAUACUGCUAGGCUUGGGACCGGGAGAGGUGAGAGGUACCUUGGGGGUAGGGGUGAAAUCUUGUGAUCCUCGGGGGACCACCAGUGGCGAAGGCGUCUCACCAGAACGGGUCCGACGGUAAGGGACGAAAGCUAGGGGCACGAACCGGAUUAGAUACCCGGGUAGUCCUAGCCGUAAACGAUGCUCGCUAGGUGUCAGUCACGGUGCGACCGUGAUUGGUGCCGUAGGGAAGCCGUGAAGCGAGCCACCUGGGAAGUAUGGCCGCAAGGCUGAAACUUAAAGGAAUUGGCGGGGGAGCAC